rnacentral:rRNA from 1 species
UACAGAGGGUGCAAGCGUUAAUCGGAAUUACUGGGCGUAAAGCGUGUGUAGGUGGUUGUGUAAGUUAGAUGUGAAAUCCCCGGGCUCAACCUGGGAAUUGCGUUUAAAACUGCAUAGCUAGAGUAUUGUAGAGGAUAGUGGAAUUUCCAGUGUAGCGGUGAAAUGCGUAGAUAUCUGGAGGAACACCGGUGGCGAAGGCGGCAUUCUGGACCGACAUUGACGCUGAGGAGCGAAAGCCAGGGGAGCAAACGGG